rnacentral:tmRNA from 1 species
GGGGGCGUACAUGGUUUCGACGGGGAUCAUGGGGUUCUGAGAAGCGAGCGGCGGAGCUUGACCGCCAUAAAACAGGCAAAAAAAUAACUGCGAAUAAAAACGUAGUUCUCGCGGCCGCUUGACGGCUGCGUGUCGGAACUGAGCUUCCUGCGGCGCAGCAAAGCGCGUGAGGUGGCGGGCCGCAAGGCCCUCAGCCCGGCCUGACCGGGUCGCCGACGGCGGAUCGCAAGAUCCAGGCGCGGCGCCUUCCACGUGCCUACCGGCAUCAUUAAAUGCAGGGAACCAGCUUGCCAAAGCUUUGAGGCAGGUGGGAUUUUAUGAAGCUACCAAAACCGGUAUCCUGUCUGUAGGAGCCCGGCAGAGGGAAUGUUAAAAUACAGACUGCGCUCGGAGAUGCUCAGGGUUCCGGGUUUUCGGACAGGGGUUCGACUCCCCUCGCCUCCACCA